rnacentral:rRNA from 1 species
AUGAGGUCAAGAGACUAUAAUUCGAAUGAUAUGUGGAGGGAGCGGGGCGUCUUACCCGCAUCAAUCGAUACCAUGGUGUCACAUAUACACGAAGGUUAUUCUUCAUUUCAUCCCAAAUUGGUAUACAAAGUCUAUAAAUAUGGUGGGAUAGGUAUGACUAUGCAGGAACAUUUCACUCUUGAAAGGCAAGAUGCGCUUGGGUAUUGUUGUGCCAGGCGCCCACUCAUCAAUGCUGGUGAUUGGCCUUGUAUGGAUGCCCCAUCCCUUUCAGCAGAUGUACUAAUUUUGAAAGCAUUAGUGAAUAUCUUAAUGCGAGAGUUUAUAUGGGGAAGAAACAAUCUUCCGCCUAGAUUAACUCAUUAUAAUGAAAUGGUGAGUUUCCACGAGGAGUUCUGGGAUGGUAAAAGGGGUGUAGAUAAAAUAGUCUGUGUGGAUUUGAGUCAUAGUAUCCACUAUGUUUCUACUCCACGUCUAUGGAAUACAUUAAAAUUUCUACACAAUCUGGGGGUGAUUCGCAUAUCUUAA